UUCCUCCCAAUCUUCAUACGUGAUGAGAACAAUUCUCAUCUCCUCCACUCCAGCCUGGGCCUCCCUGCACCAGCCUCUCUCGGGAGGUCUCUCUGUCCUGGUCCGCACCUCCUCUGCUUCUGUGGGGCCUCUCCGUAUUUCUGCUUUUCACCCCUCCUCUCUCCCGCCCCACCGACCGAGGCCGAGUUUGUUUGUUUGAGACAGAGUCUCGGUCUGUCACCCAGGCUGGAGUGCAAUAUGUGCAAUCCUGGCUCACUGCAACUUCCACCUUCUGGGCUCAAGCGAUUCUCCUGCCUCAGCCUCCCAAGUAGCUCUAAUUACAGAAGCAUGCCAUACCUAAGACCUACUACCCUGAGAAGCAGUGAAGUGCUCCUGGGGCCCACCAAGGCCACACAAGUCAAGGAGUGGAUGGCCUUGCUCCAGCUACUGCUCAGAUCACCUUUGCAAGAUGACAUUGUGUUGGGAGAUGGUCAUCAGAGCCAGGGCCAUGGAAGAUGCUGUCAGGAGGCACGAGGAAAGGCUAUGGGAGCACAAAGCAAGAAAGUGGCCUUCUGCAAGCCAGGAAGAGAGGCCUCCCCAGAAACCAACUCUGUGAGCUCAUCGAUCUUUGACUUUUGGCCUCCAGAACAUUGAGAAAAUAAAAGUCUGUUGUUAAACCACCCAA
rnacentral:lncRNA from 1 species